rfam:Angiostrongylus cantonensis strain Taiwan genome assembly, scaffold: ACAC_contig0013769
GCACGGAUGGCCAAGUGUUCUACGGCGCCAGACUCAAGGUUCACUUGCUGCGCGAAAGUAGUUGAGAAUUCUGGUACUCAUAAGGGUGCGUGGGUUCAAAUCCCACUCCGCGCA